ensembl:lncRNA
UUUAACAUCGUAUUUCCCUAAUUUGAGCCUGAUUUAGUCGCUGGAGUAUUUGGACGCCUCUUCUAUGGUGCCGAUAGUUAAUUAAACAGAUGUUGCAGAGGGAAUCAUUAAUUUUAGUGCUGCAGAUGGGAGCAGAAUGACUUUGUGAAGUUAAUGUUUCAGCAAAACAAUGGGCUUCUGUCAUCAGUUGGUAUAAACUGAGUAAAUUAAGAGAACAAGUAGAAUAGGGUAGGUCGCUCUGAAGAAAUAUCAAUUAUUCAUUUUCAGAAUUACACUUCUUUUGUGUCUUUGCAGUCCCAUAAGGGGAGAAAAGUGGAUUCUGCAAGGAGGCAUAGUGGUAGCUGGAGGAAAGCAGAUUGAAAGAGUCUAAAGCAUUAGGAAAAAAGCUCAAGACACUGAAAGGGAUGUGGAGAGAGAGAUGUGCCAAUAAAAGUGUUUGGACCUAAAGCUGAACAUCUACCUAUCUGACUGACGCAUCAAAUUUUGUGUCAUUGGGGAUUCUACACAUGUUGAUGGCUCACAAUCCUGCAUGUAUGUUAAAAUCUCCAGAUCAUCUUAAGCUACAGCAUUCAAAAAAUAGGUCGGACCUGGACUGUCUGGUUUCCAGACCCAAUUCAGAAAACACCACGCUUCAACAAAGUCUAAAGCUCGUAAUGAAGAAGCUAUAGAUCUGGGAUCUGAGAAGGAUGAACCCACGACCUUCAGGGAAGUGGCCAGGAAGCCGCGAGUUUAAGGGAACCAAACAGGUACCCACGUCUUGUCCUAGUUGCUCCUGGGGGCUGUCGGGGCCUCCUUGGGUUUUGUCUUCUGUCACUAGAAGUGUUCAAAGAUAAAGUAAUGCAUAUUUAAACUUUUAAGAGUUUUUUGGGGGCAAAAGUUCGCUUGACUCGAGUAGCGUCUACUCUAAGAGAUGGAAAGGGGCUCCGGGGAGCUGUGCAGAUGAACGUCUUUUGUAAGCAGACAUGAGGGGGAGUAAGGAGAUUAAUAAGGCAAAAGAGUGGGUUAUUGGUUAUUGCAAAGUUAGUUUCCUUUAGCCGGUGGCAGGGGUCUAUCAGGGGAAUGACCUGACACGUGCUGUUCCGCUGAUUCCUGAUUGGUUUAAAAUUCCGCUUCUGAGGGAGUUAAAACUGUAAGGAAAUGAAGUCUUGGUUUGGUGAUGUAGAGCAUGGCAUAAACAACUCCAUUUUGGGCCUAUUGUCUCGAUUUUAAUCCUUCCUUUUUCCUUUCUUCCUUCCGCCUCUCCUUUCUUCAACAACUAUUGAGUUAGUAUCAGGCAUUCAUGAGCAAAACAAAGCAGAUGUGAUUUCUAAUCUUCUAAUCUAAUGUGCUCAAUUAGUUUUAAUACACUGAUAGGAAAGUAAUCAUUUAUUUGGGUGCCCAGAAGGGUACAUAGUAUAGCCAGGUGGAGGGGAGACUGGAGAUGAGAGAUCAGAGCUUUCCCCCAGGGAGUGACUUCUAAGCUGAAACCUAAAGCAUUGACAAGAGUAAACCAGAUUGGGGGUGAGAGUGGGGCUUGGGGAAAUUCCAAGAAGGAAGGGCCUGAGAUGAAAUAGAAAUUCAGUGUGGGGAACAUCCAUUGUGUGCUGUGAAAUAAAUUAAGAUAAACGAGCCUAGAG